CCCUUAGAUGUCCUGGGCCGCACGCGCGCUACACUGAUGCAUGCAACGAGUUUAUAACCUUGGCCUGAAAGGUCUGGGUAAUCUUUUGAACGUGCAUCGUGAUAGGGAUAGAUUAUUGAAAUUAUUAAUCUUGAACGAGGAAUUCCUAGUAAACGCAGAUCAUCAAUCUGCAUUGAUUACGUCCCUGCCCUUUGUACACACCGCCCGUCGCACCUACCGAUUGGAUGGUCCGGUGAAGCCUCGGGAUUGUGGUUCUUGCCGCUUUAUUGUGGCGUGACCGCGAGAACUUGUCUAAACCUUAUCAUCUAGAGGAAGGUGAAGUCGUAACA
rnacentral:rRNA from 1 species